CAAGGCCCUGUCUCUAAAAAAAAAAUUUUAAUGAAAGAACAAAGGCAAGCAGCCUCCUAGGUGCUGAGUUGCUUUAUUCUUACCUAGGGAGAAGGCUACCAUUUACUGAGCCCUAUUCUUUGCCAGCCACAAUGCAUAUUUCCCUGCAUUGUAAUUUACAUUGUUAUUUACAUUGUCAUUGAUGUCUUGUCUCCUUAACAGAGCUGCAUCAUCCUACCACUUCUCUGAUAAGAAUCUUAAGGAAUACUGUACAAUGGUAAAUGACUUGCCUAAAGUUACCCAGCUGAUUAAUGUGACAGAGCCAGAGUUUUAAACCAAAACUAUCUUUCUCCAAAGGUUCCAGGCAUGAAGCAUGUGCUGUCCUGGGCCCUGAAUAUCAAGCCAGGUAGAGGAACCCCAUCCUUCUGUUGUCAUUUCAAGCUAGAGGCUCAAGCCUGGAGGAGUGAGGAUCAAGAUCGAGAACUCAAAGCUGUUUAGAGGAAGAAGCCAAGUUCAAGGAGGAGUGAGGAACGCUUGAGGCGAAACCUUUUGGAAGCUCAGGAAGCUUGGAGGAUUUCGUGGAUUACAGAAUGUUGAAGUUGGAGAACUGUAGAGGGGCCUAAAAAAUGUUCCAGAAUCAAGACGGUGCCUGAUGCCCUACCUAGCCCCUCUCCAGCACACAGGAGCCCCGGGCCCUUGGCAAUCAUGUCUGCGCAGCUUGGACCCCAUAUCCAAAAGGGGAGCACGCCCCAAUUUACUCUCACCCCACCAGGUUAAUCCAUGAGAAGAGCUUGGAACAGCGCCCGGCAGUGUCUCAGCGCACCCAAAGUGUGUGCAGACAUGCUCACUCUAGAAGAAACUAGUUGCCAUGUUGUGAGGAUACUCAACAGUCCUGUGGAGGGGGCCACAUGUAGAAAGACCGCAUGUGGAAAGAAACUGACUUGCUAGCAGCAACUUUACAGGUAUGUAUGAAAUAAACCACCUUGGAAGAAGAUCCUCCAGCCUCUCAGUCAAGACUUAAGAGAAUUUCAGCCUUCAAUCAUUUAAUCUGCCAGCCAGGACCCCAGACACUGCAGAACAGAGACAAACAUUCCUGCUGUGCCCUCUCUGAAUUCUUGACCCACAGGAACUGUGAGACAGUGAAAGAUUAUUGCCAUUUUGACCUUCUAAGUUUUGGUGUAAUUUCUUUCUUUUUUUUUUUUUAAUUGAAACAGAGUCUCGCUCUGUUGCCCAGG
rnacentral:lncRNA from 1 species